GCCCGCCUAGCUCAAUCGGAUAGAGCGUCAGACUCUUACUAUAAGAGUCCAUCUGAAGGCUGCGAGUUCGACCCUCGCGGUGGGCU
rfam:Laetiporus sulphureus 93-53 unplaced genomic scaffold LAESTscaffold_21, whole genome shotgun sequence.